AUGAAGGGUUACAGGACAGGGCUGCUGCUUCUAGCUAUCUGCUGGGCAGGUGUUGAUGGUCAGUCUCUGACUCAGUCAGAACCGGUGGUUAAAAGACCAGGAGAAUCCCACAAACUGACCUGUACAACCUCUGGACUCUCAUUCAGCAGCAGGUGGAUGGCCUGGAUCAGACAGGCUCCUGGAAAAGGACUGGAGUGGAUCGCUACAAACACUAAUGGUGGUAGCAAGUUCUACUCCCAGUCAGUCCAGGGCAGGUUUGUUGUCUCCAGAGACAACGGCAGAGAGCAGCUGUUUCUGCAGAUGAACAGCCUGAAGAUGGAAGAUUCUGCAGUUUAUUAUUGUGCUCGAGACUCACAACAUUACUGUUCAUACGACUUUUUCAUAAUUAUGCACGUUUUUAAAGCUUUAGUAACUGAGGUAUACUGA